UUCAUUUUUUUUCUAUGUAUCUUCGUUUCUUUUCUCUGAUACUCUUAGUAUUUCCACGAAUUUCAAUGCCAACAUGUCUUUUUUCUUUACUUUUCUUUCAUUUUUGUUUUGUGUAGUUCGCAAUUGAAGAAAUUAUUAUCUUUGAAAUAGUUAAUAAAGUACUCAAGCAUUUGAAUAUAGGUUGAGAAAUAAGAAUUAAGUUUUUAUGGUUUUUUGUGCUGUUGAAGAAUGGGAAUAUAUGUUGCGCCAAAGAUGUUUGACAAAUUGCCUGACCCAGUUUUGAACUUUUAAAGAUUCAACAGGAAUUAGUUCUUUUUAAUCUUUCUUUUCUUGGUUUGACAUUUUGCCUGGGCGGCCUUUUCUAAUGAAUUAGUGAAUUUGAAGUGUUAGGUUUAUUGUUCAAAGCUCACUCAAAACAUAUGAUUAUUCAAGUUCAUCCUCCUUGCAAACAACUGGGUUGCUCAUUUUUCAAUCCCAUUAUCUACUUCCUGUGUCAAGGAAGUCAUUCUGCAUUAUAACAUUUUUUAACAUACUUAAAUGAGGAUCCAUCAAUAAUACUUAUUUGGGCAAUGGAAAGGCUUCUGUUGAUAUUGUAACUUCACUUGUCUAUGAUGAGGAUUAGCUCAAAGUUAGGGAUAGGGAAGACGCAGAUGGGUCAGUGAAGUGGUUUGUAGCUUUUUGUGUUCGAUAAAGUUUCGUUUCAAUGAAUGUCAUUUUGUUAGGAGCCAAAAUGCUUGUAUACAAAGUAGUUCUUUUUGUUUUGUCAGAUCCUUGUUGCAAAAUUCAUACCAUUCCAAGAACUAAGAUUUAAGGUACAAAUCUAUGGUCUUUUGUAACUUGUGUUCUUUCCACUGGGUAUUUUGGCAACUGGGACCUAUUUUGGCAACUGGGUAUUUUUUCCCAACGUGAGGUCACUGGAUUUUAUCCUGCCCUUCUUGAGAGGAAAAAUGAGCUAGAAGCGGAGAUUCGGGAAUUUUUUACAGAUGAAGUGACGAUGAAAUUUGAGUCUGAAAAUUACACGUUUGAUGUUUAUGUUAGAAAGGAUGGGCAGGUUAAGCUUUUGGAUUUUAACCCUUGGGGUGCAUUUACACUGCCACUGCUGUUUACAUGGGAGGAAUUGGAGCAAAAUUUUAAUGAAAAUGGUAAUACUUUGGAGUUUCGAAUAGUAGAGAGCCAGUGUGGAGUACAGCCCGGAUUAAAAACUGCAGUUCCUUACGAUUACUUAGACACCAGUCCAGGGAGUGGUUGGGAUCAAUUCCUGAGGAAUGCUGAUGAGGAGUUGCAACUCUAGAUUCAGUCCUCUGGCAAAGGUGAUUAAGGAUUUUGUUUUCCCCAUUUCUGAGAUUGGUCAGGACUUGGUGCGCACAUCAAAAAUCAGUGACUUGCUUGACAUUUUCCAGCGAUAAUUCAUUUCUUAUUUCUGGUUCAGAAGAUGGCAUGAUCAUUAUUUGGCCUAUGAUCGGGUAAAAAAAGUGAAUCUUCGUUUCUUCAACAAUUUAAUGUUUGUAUUUGAAUGUCGUUUAGUUUUAUUUUUCAGGAAAAAUAAAUAACUGACUUUGUAAUCACAUUGUUUGGUGGAAGUUUGGUAGACGAGAUAGAUUGUUGGACUGUGACUUUAAAACUAAAUUUUUCGUUGGAGCUUUCAUCCUCUAUAACAGGCCUAUUAACUACAUCAAGUGGCUCAAGUUUAAUAUUUUUAUCAAGCUCCCUCGAUGGCACAUGCAAGGUAUGGAACCUUGUUACUGGAAGACUUUUACAAACUCGAGCUUUUCCACUACCAAUUACUGCAAUAGUUGUUGAUCCAACAAAGAGAAGUUAUUUUCUGCUGGUAUAGAUUACUAGUGGAUAUUUCUUUUUUGUAUACGGAGGACAUCAUUUUUGUAUGAUUAUCUGCUUGUAUGGAAUUAUUAUUUUGGGUUGGAUUAUAUUUGGUUUGUAUAGAAUUUGAUGUUACAAGACCAAAUUUUUAGAUGGUUGAAAGUGAAAUAGAAAUAGACAUAUGUAUUGUUUUGUUUA